rnacentral:rRNA from 1 species
AGAGGCUAUAUUAUAUAUUUUAUGGUAAAAAGGCAGUUAAAUAUUUAAAUUUAAAUAUAGUUUAUUGAUUUCUUAUCUAAGAGUAAAAUCUGCAUAUAAAUGAAUAAUUCAAUAUAAGCUAAUAUCUCAUAUAUUGACUCUGCGAAAGCCUUGAGGGAAACUGGGAUUAGAUACCCCAUUAUUCUUGGGAGUAAAUAGACGUAAGUUUACCAGAGUACUAUGAAUUCUUAAACAAAUUUAAAACUCAAAGGGCUUGGCGGUGUUUUAGACCUUUCAGGGGAACCUGUCUCAUAAUCGACAAUCCACGUUAAACCUAACCUUUUUUUGCUAAUUCAGUUUGUAUACCGUCGUCGUCGGGUAACUUUUAAAAAAUGAGAAGUUAGCAACAAAAUAAUUUUUAAAUUUUAACGUCAGAUCAAGGUGCAACCAAUAGAGAGGUGAAGAUGGGUUACAAUUAAAAAUUAUAAUUACGAAUAAACAGUUGGAAUACUGUCUUUAAAGGAGGACUUGAAAGUAAAAAGAAUUAUAUAAAUAUUUUGAAUAAGGCUCUGAAACAUGC